AGGGGGUUGUCGUGAGUUUAAAAUGGAUUGAAUAACAAGUAAGCACUCAGAAAACAGUAAAGAAAUCAACUGGGUACGUGGAAGGACUCAGACCCUACAGUCAACCAGUCCCCACCACAGUCCUGAGGGAAGAGCUGAGCCAAGGCAGCUUGUCCUACCCAGCUUACCGGCCCUACUCUAGCCCCACCCCCACUCUGGCUGGGGGAGGGCACCUGACCUGAGACUGGCCAAUCAGGUCCUCUCUUGUAAAUUUGAACUAAGAAACCCAAAUCAGGUCUAACAGUUUUUCCUUGGGGGAAUGACCCUUUUCCCUCUCUCAGUCCACAAGCCUCCAUGGAGCUGACUCCAUCCCUGACUCCACGGCCAUACUUGGGGGUGGCCUGUGGCUCAGCCUGAUCAAUCAGAACACUGCACUCUCCUGGCCACCGGGAUGGACCAAUGAGAUGUGGUCAGACUUCCUGGACUAUUGAAAUAAAGACUUUUAAAAGUGAAUCCAACCCAAAAAAGAGAGAUGGACACCAGGUCCUGGGGACAUCAUCUGGAUCCAGCCAGGCCUCAGGCUGUCCUGUGCUCUCCAGCUGUCUAAGCUGAAAAUUCCAUUAUUGCUUAGUCCACUUGGGAAUAGGUCACUUCCAGGUGCUAAUUCAGUCCUGCUCCCUCCUUCAAGAAGAAUGAUGUACAACAUCCAGAGAAAAUGAGAUUUAUCUUUUAUUUUUAAUACUAGAAUGGUUGACUGGUGUAAAAUAUUUCAUUUUAGGCAAGUUUAUUAUAUCUAACUUCCAGCCACAGGCCUCCUACCAUAUAAAUAUAUAGUUAUUGACCAAGAAUCUAUGUUGAAACACUUCCAUGCUUCUCUUUUCAGGACCAGAUGUACCUCAACAUGAUUUCUUAAUAUUAUCUUUGCCAAGGAACCAGAACUCGAAGAUAAGGUCUAUGAAAAUAGAAACGAAAGAUGUAAUUUAUGUAAAUUUUUAAAGAAAAAAAUAUUCUACUUGUAACCAGCAUCCAUGAAUUGGAGUGUAAAGCUGAACUGUCAUAAAACCUAACCUUUCUGACCAUUUUCCAGACUAGAGGGUAGGUAGGAGGAGUUGAGACUGAGGAUGUGUGGUCAAGAAUCUCAGGCCAGGCUCUCCAUUGUGCCCUGACACCCAUCAUCCAGGGAAGGACCUGGCCAGGCCUCCAGGUUUUGAGUGACAGAGCAGUAAUCAGAGUAAUCACCUGGGGAAACAGGAUGGAAACUAUCCCAAGAGCUCAGAGGGAGAGACAGCAACGUAUUUGCAAACGUGACAAGUGCCACGGGAGCCAAACGAGGUGCUAAGAUGCCAAAUAAUACAGAAGGGACCAACUUUAACCAAGAAGAUUGGAAAGACCUCUGAAGAGGUAAGAGUUGAGGUAAGUAAGGUCUAAAGGAGGAAUGACACCUUUAUAGAGAAGACAAUGUAACCAACAGUAACAUGCAUUUUUUUAAAUUACUCACAAUCCUCUCCCCACCCACACACCAUCACUACAACUCUGCUCUUUUUUGUAUAAUAAAUCCAUCUCCAGAUCUGGUCCAUGUGUUGUUACAGCAUUUCAACCAUCUCUCAGCUGGAUCCUGACUCCCCUCCUCUUGACUGUGGACCAGAGGAUUCAGCGACUUGCUUUUAAUGAAAAAUACACCAGAAGUGAUGCCAUGUAAAUUUCAAGGCAGGUCAGCACAGCAGUGUGGCAUCGGCCCUGCUCUCCCGUGGGUCACUCACUCUGGGGGAAGCUGGCAGCCAGGUCAUAAGGACACGAGAGCAUCCCUGGAAGAGGCCUCGUCGGGAGGAACAGAGUCAUCCUGCCAGCAACUGUUUCGUUUGUCUAGAACAGUCCCAGUUUUCACACUGAAAGUCCUGCAUUCCAGAAAACCUCUGAGUCCUGGGCAAAUGGAGAUGACUGGUCACUCCGUCAGGCAGCACCCACUUUCCAGCCAUGUAAAUGAGCCACCUGCCAGCCAGUGCUCCUGCCCCAGCUGAGCCCCCAGGUCAUCGCAGCCUGAGCCAACAGUCCACUGCAAAUUCGUGAGAGGCUUUGAGCCUAAUAACACGACGGAGUCGCUCUUGGACUCCUGGCCUACAGAAAGUUUGUGAGAUAAUAAAGGCUGAUUGCUUUAA